rnacentral:rRNA from 1 species
AGCAAACAGGAUUAGAUACCCUGGUAGUCCACGCUGUAACCGAUGAAUACUAGGUGUGGGGGGACUGACCCCUUCCGUGCCGCAGUUAACACAAUAAGUAUUCCACCUGGGGAGUACGACCGCAAGGUUGAAACUCAAAGGAAUUGACGGGGGCCCGCACAAGCAGUGGAUUAUGUGGUUUAAUUCGACGCAACGCGAAGAACCUUACCAAGAUUUGACAUCCUCCUAACGAAGUAGAGAUACAUUAGGUGCCCUUCGGGGAAAGGAGAGACAGGUGGUGCAUGGUUGUCGUCAGCUCGUGUCGUGAGAUGUUGGGUUAAGUCCCGCAACGAGCGCAACCCUUAUCGUUAGUUGCUACGCAAGAGCACUCUAGCGAGACUGCCGUUGACAAAACGGAGGAAGGCGGGGACGACGUCAAAUCAUCAUGCCCCUUAUGUCUUGGGCUACACACGUAAUACAAUGGCGGCCAGCAGAGUGAAGCAAAGCGGCGACGCAGAGCGAAACACAAAAAGCCGUCUCAGUUCGGAUUGCAGGCUGCAACUCGCCUGCAUGAAGUUGGAAUUGCUAGUAAUCGCGGAUCAGCAUGCCGCGGUGAAUACGUUCCCGGGCCUUGUACACACCGCCCGUCACACCACGAGAGUCGGGAACACCCGAAGUCCGUAGUCUAACCGCAAGGAGGGCGCGGCCGAAGGUGGGUUUGAUAAUUGGGGUG